rnacentral:rRNA from 2 species
GAGUGGCGAACUGGUGAGUAACACGUGGGUAACCUGCCCCGAAGCGGGGGAUAACAUUUGGAAACAAAUGCUAAUACCGCAUAAUUAGUCAGAACCGCAUGGUUCCGACUUGAAAGAUGGCUCUGCUAUCACUUCGGGAUGGACCCGCGCCGUAUUAGUUAGUUGGUGAGAUAAAAGCCCACCAAGACGAUGAUACGUAGCCGACCUGAGAGGGUAAUCGGCCACAUUGGGACUGAGACACGGCCCAGACUCCUACGGGAGGCAGCAGUAGGGAAUCUUCCACAAUGGACGAAAGUCUGAUGGAGCAACGCCGCGUGAGUGAUGAAGGGUUUCGGCUCGUAAAACUCUGUUGUUAAAGAAGAACAAGCAUGAGAGUAACUGUUCAUGCUUUGACGGUAUUUAACCAGAAAGCCACGGCUAACUACGUGCCAGCAGCCGCGGUAAUACGUAGGUGGCAAGCGUUGUCCGGAUUUAUUGGGCGUAAAGCGAGCGCAGGCGGUUUUGUAAGUCUGCUGUGAAAGCCCUCAGCUCAACUGAGGAAGUGCAGUGGAAACUACAAAACUUGAGUACAGAAGAGGAAAGUGGAACUCCAUGUGUAGCGGUGAAAUGCGUA